rnacentral:rRNA from 1 species
CCCUUAGAUGUUCUGGGCUGCACACGUGCUACACUGGCAGGUUCAGCGAGCUUCAUGCCCUGAUCUGAAAGGAAUGGGAAAUCUUUUCAAAACCUGCCGUGCUUGGGAUAGAUGUUUGCAAUUAUUCAUCUUCAACGAGGAUUGCCUUGUAAGCGCACGUCAUCAGCGUGCAUUGAAUACGACCCUGUAUUCUGUACACACCGCCCGUCGCUCCUACCGAUUGGAGUUUUCGGUGAGUUGACAGGAGGAUUUUUUUGAAACUGGUUCGCCAGUGGAUUUUAGAUCCAAAUGCCAACGAAUCGAUGGCUUUAGAGGAAGGAGAAGUCGUAACA